UCUGAAAUAAACACAUAAGGAAGCAGGAGAAUAAUUACAACCAUGAUUUAUUUUAUAAAUAAUGUUUACAUGCCAGAAGAUUUUUAAAAAGAUACUAAAAAAAUAAAAUUACACUGAACGUGCACUUUGAUUAUUAGGAUCUGCACAGUGGAUAAGCUCUAUUUUCAAAAUGUUCCAGAACACAUUUGGAACUCCCUUUAAGAAAAAAAAGUAAAAAUCAUCUUAAAUAAAAAAUGGACCAUAAACAA